GACGUAGGGCGCGAGCGUUGUCCGGAUUUAUUGGGCGUAAAGAGCUCGUAGGCGGCUUGUCGCGUCGACCGUGAAACUCGCAGCUCAACUGCGAGCCUGCGGUCGAUACGGGCAGGCUAGAGUUCGGUAGGGGAGACUGGAAUUCCUGGUGUAGCGGUGAAAUGCGCAGAUAUCAGGAGGAACACCGAUGGCGAAGGCAGGUCUCUGGGCCGAUACUGACGCUGAGGAGCGAAAGCGUGGGGAGCGAACAGG
rnacentral:rRNA from 1 species